GUUGUUGUUUAGUCGUUUAGUCAUGUCUGACUCUUUGUGACCCCAUGGACCAGAGCACGCCAGGCACUUCUGUCUUCCACUGCCUCCCGCAGUUUGGUCAAACUCAUGUUUGUAGCUUCGAGAACACUGUCCAACCAUCUCGUCCUCUGUUGUCCCCUUCUCCUUGUGCCCUCAAUCUUUCCUAACAUCAGGGUCUUUUCCAGGAAGUCUUCUCUUUUCAUGAGGUGGCCAAAAUAUUGGAGCCUCAACUUCAAGAUCUGUCCUUCCAGUGAGCACUCAGGGCUGAUUUCCUUCAGAAUGGAUAGGUUUGAUCUUCUUGCAGUCCAUGGGACUCUCAAGAGUCUCCUCCAGCACCAUAAUUCAAAAGUAGGUCCAAGUGAAUUCAAUGGGACUUGCUUUUAGUUACAUGGUCAUUGAUUGCAACCUUAGUAAAUUACGAUGAAUUAAAUGAAUCAAGGCUACAGUAUUGUGGUCAUGGCAAAAGGUGUCAAAGGCUGCGCAUGAUUUCCUGGAUCUUCUUCUCCAGCAGUGAAGAGAUUGGUCUGCCCUUGGAGAAGGUGAUUCAGUGUUAGAUGCCUCCAUGUAGGGUUGGGGGCGAAAUUUCUCAGUUCUCAUUCAAAGGCAAACUGACUUUCUGAAAGAAAUUGUGAACUGAAACACAGCUGUCUUCUGAAAUUUGCAUUUCUCUGAAUUUUGCAAUGUCAUUCUCCAGCCAAGGAACCAGCACAAAAAAAGCAUAUACUAAUAUGUGCAUAUAAGUGCAUCUAUUAAUGAAAAUAACAUAUGAUGAUGCACUAUGUCAGCAGGAAUUCCUUGCAAAAAUGGCUAUAUUACUCAAAACUACAUAGAAAGAUGUGCCUAUUUGCUCCAAAAUUUGCUCUAAAAUGCUGGUGAGUUUUUAUUUUAACUCAGAUCUGCAGAUGGCUGCAGAAAUUUAAGAGCUGCAGAUUGUGGAAAUGAGAUGCUGAAAGAACCAAAACUGACCUAUUUGCACAUCUUGUUUCUAUGGGACUGCAUAAAGGCCACUAUCUUUAAAGUGCUGGACAGGAAAUUUUGGGGGGGCAUGCCAUGUGUGUAUUUAUUGUUAUUUGUAGUGUACUUAGAAAAAUUUUACACCACUCUUCAGCUUCAAAGGCUCCCAGGGCAUAACAAUAAAUUAAAACAAGCCAGUCCCUCUCCACAGGCUUACAAUUAAAAAAAGCAAAAAACACUGACACAAAACGAAAUAGAGACAGAGAGGAAAGAGAUGGAGGGGGGAAAAAACUAUACAGUAUCCAUAGAAAGUGCCCCCCAACAUAUCCAUGAAAUAAAGGACAAAGUAUGCUGGCCCUGGAGCUGACAUAGUUUAUUUUGCACCCUAGAUGGGAGGAAAAGAGUAGAUUUGAGCAUGUGCAAAAUGCUUUCUCCAAAAUACAUGGGGAACCAUAGACAGCCCUGCCCAUAUCCCUCUACAAGUAGGGAAAAGAAUUACUGGGAGAGAACCACAUCCUUUAGGCUCCACCAACUUUCCUUUUCAAAAUCAAAAACAAACUAAUUUACUUAACGUGAAAAGGCUUUCUCCCGAUCCAGCCCUGGAGGGAUUUGGAACGAGAAACUGACAUGGCGUUGCAGGGCGGGGUGUUGGAGGGGGGAAACUAAUGCAAGGAACAGGAAGCAACAGUAGCCUAGAUCGGGGGGAUAGAGUUACCUAUCAAGAAUGUGAGAAGGAGGGAGGAACGAGCGAGGAGAUGCUCUGAGCCAAAUUGGUUUCAUCAUCUCUCCUCGCGCCCGUUUGCAUCUCCCGGAUUCCACAAUUCGCUGGUGUCGCUGGGUGGAAGAUGGAGAGCCAAGCAAAGAUGAGGGAAAGCAAAAGAAUUUUCAUUUCCUGGCUGUUCCUCCUGCCCGAGGGCAGAUAUUGCAAGCCUUCUUGUUGUUGUUUAGUCGUUUAGUCGUGUCCGACUCUUCGUGACCCCAUGGACCAGAGCACGCCAGGCACUCCUGUCUUCCACUGCCUCCCGCAGUUUGGUCAGACUCAUGUUUGUAGCUUCAAGAACAGUGUCCAACCAUCUCAUCCUCUCGUCCCGUCUCCUUGUGCCUCCAUCUUCCCAACAUCAGGGUCUUUUCCAGGGAGUCUUCUCUUCUCAUGAGGUGGCCAAAGUAUUGGAGCCUCAGCUUCAGGACCUGUCCUUCCAGUGAGCACUCAGGGCUGAUUUCCUUCAGAAUGGAGAGGUUUGAUCUUCUUGCAGUCCAUGGGAGCCUGCAAGCCUACCGUCACGCAAACGAGUGGAAGGAGUUGGGAGGGAGGGGAAAGGUGACCGGGGAGAAUGUUUCCACCACGUUGGGAUGAGAAGACGUCUUCCUGUGUGCAAGGAAGAUUGGCUCCUAGCAAGGGGCUGGCAUAUUGGAAAACCCUGAGGUGGCAAAGAGCUGCCUCCCCAGUUGCAAAAUCUUCAAGUAUACGAAUGACAAAUUCUGCUCCUCAAGAAAGAUAGUAUCACGCCACUGGUAUAAACAGGGGAGUUCUGUCUUUUCCCCCUCCCCAAGAUUUAUUUUGGAAAUCAUUUUUAUUUGAUUUGACAGAUUUAUAACAAUACCAAAUACAGUGGUACCUCAGGUUACAGACACUUCAGGUUACAUACGCUUCAGGUUACAGACUCCGCUAACCCAGAAAUAUUACCUCAGGUUAAGAACUUGGCUUCAGGAUGAGAACAGAAAUUGUGCUCCAGUGGUGCGGCAGCAGCAGGAGGCCCCAUUAGCUAAAGUGAUACCUCAGGUUAAGAACAGUUUCAGGUUAAGAACAGACCUUGAGAACGAAUUGAGUUCUUAACCCGAGGUACCACUAUACAUAUCCCUAUUUAGAGAUUUCUCUGAAUCUCUGAGACUUCCCCCCAUCCCCUCCAUGGGUCCUAUUGUCAAAAUUUUCAACUGCGUAUUAUUUCAUAAUUUAUGUUUUGUAUCUAUCCAUAUUGUCUGUAGUGUUUGCUACAUUACAAGUGAGAUUAAAAUCCUGCUAAUGUUUUCACCUGCUUACAGUGGCCUCCUAAAUAAAUUAUAUCUUUUUUCAAUUCUUUUUAAAGCAUUUUGUCCUCUUGGUUCCUGAUUUAUCCAAUCAGCUUUGCCAUUUUGGCGUAGCCCAUCAGCUUGGUUUGCCAUUCCUUCCUGGUAGUGACUCUUUCUUCUUUCCAUCUCUUGGCUCGUAGCAUCCGUGUGUCGACAUGCAGAGGGCCAGGAGGCCAGCUGGCAAGCCCCAGCUGUGUCCUCUCCAUCCAUCGGCCUGUGCUCCAACGUAAAUCAACGAUCCGGGCUUCAAAGCCAGGGCACGCUAUCAGCAGAGAGAACUGUGUACACAGAAUCGGCGUGAGGUUUGUGGAAACAUACUACAACUACAGAUUUAUUAAUCAUAAAUCAGGACAAUGAAACAUGUCGUAUCUCUCUCGUGUCAUCUCAGAGAAAAGCAAAAGCUAUACACAAACGGAAGUUCCCAGCAUACUGUGCUGGAAUGUAAACAGACAUGUGACACGUAACAAUCCCAUGUCUGUUCCUUAAGGUGGAAUGGAAAUGUCAACACCGUGAGGCUGUUGUCGCAGACAUAAAAAGUCUUUUCUGCUCCUUUGGAAUGUUGGCACCUAUAAUUCCUAAUAAAAAAGCUUCUGGUUUUUUAAACAAAAGUUAUUUUAAACAUUUUUUUCAGUUCAUUACAUGUCAUCUCCCAGAAAGCUUUUAUUACCUUACACGACCACCACAUAUGAUAAAAGGUGCCUUCUUUCUCUUUAUAUUUCCAGCAGGUGUUUGCAAGGUCUUUCUUGUGCCGAAUUAUCAUAUGCGGAUUAAUUUGCAUGGGCACAAAAUGCCGAGCCGGGCCAGGGAAAUGGGCCCACAUGAUGCUGCUGGACUCCAGCUCCCAUCAACCUCGACCAGCAUCAGUCAGUAUCCAAGGGAUUAUGGGAGUUGUAGUCCAGCAAUGUCUGGGUAGCUCAGUUGGUUAGAGCGUGGGGCUGACAAUGCCAAGGUUGCAGGUUCGAUCCCCGUAUGGGACAGCUGCAUAUUCCUGCAUUGCAGGGGGCUGGACUUAGAUGAUCUUCACGAUCCCUUCUGACUCUACGAUUCUGUGAUUUCCCCUCCUUGGUUCAGAGCAUUUCCCCCCAUCCUUCCAGCGCUGCCUAUCCAGAUGGACAGAAUCCCUGCAUCGAACAUCCGUCCAGGAGGAGGGACCUACUAUUGCAAAAUAAAACAUCCUCAGGCAGACAAGUGCCUUGAGCAAUAGGUAGUAAGGUGUCAGGGCGAGGGUCUCGGCAAAGGGAUCUGAAAUGUGAAAACAGUGUACAGUGGUGCCUUGGUUCUCAAAUGCCUUGGUAAUCAAACAACUUGGAACCCAAACACUGCAAACCUGGAAAUAAGUAUUCCGGUUUGUGAACUUUUUUCAGAAGCCGAACGUGCUCCGUUUUGAGUGUUAUGCUUCCGAUUUGAGUGCCACACUUCCAUUUUGAGUGUUACACUGAGGUCUAUCUGUUUUUGCUAUUUAUUUUGCGUUGUUGUUGUUUUUUGCGGUUCUUUUGUGUGUGUGUGUGUGUGUGUGUGUGAGAGAGAGAGAGAGAGAGAGAGAGAGAGAGAGAGAGAGAGAGACUGUGUGGAACCCAGUUCAGCUACUGACUGUGUGACCGUAGUACAUUGUUUAUUACUUUCAUUUUAUGGAUCAAUGGUCUCGUUAGAUAGUAAAAUUCAUCUUAAAUUGCUGUUUUAGGGGUUGCUUUAAAAACCUGGAACGGAUUAAUCCAGUUUGCAUUACUUUCUAUGGGAAAGCGGUUCUUGGUUUUGGAACGCUUUGGUUUUGGAACGGACUUCCGGAAUGGGUUAAGUUUAAGAACCAAGAUACCACUGUAUACAAGAGUGCACACGUUUCCCUGUGUGAAAUGCUAGAGAGCCCAGCACACACACAAACACACACCAAACCCUGCCCAAAUAAAAAAUAAAAAAUGCCAGAUGAAUGCAAGUUUCAAAAAUCCAAAUUCUUCCUUGUCCCUUCUCGUACGCAACCUCUCUCUGAUGCUGUGCAGAUGUGCAUCCACAGACAGCAAAAUUCCCAAGAAGAAAGCACUCUUUUUGCCUGCCAGUAGGUGGCAAAAGACAGAAGAGAAGGCUGCUUUCUCUUAGCAUGGACUUGUGGGGAAGGUGUGACUCAGUCUUGGGUACAGUGCUUGGCAUCUCCUGGCUGGGCUGCUGGGAAAUUCCUGCCUGAAACCCUGGAGACCAGUGCCCAUCCAUGCAAAGGUAAAAGGUAAAGGACCCCUGGGCGGUUAAGUCCAGUCAAAGGCGACAAUGGGGUUGCGGUGCUCAUCUCGCUUUCAGGCCGAGGGAGCUGGAAUUGGCCACAGACAGCUUUCCGGGUCAUGUAGCCAAUAGGACUAAACCGCUUCUUGCUCAGCGGGACACUGUGAUGGAAACCAGGGUGAACGGAAAUGCCGUUUACCUUCCCACCGGAGUGGUACCUUUUUAUCUACUUGCACUGGCGUGCUUUCAAGCUGCUAGGUUGGCAGGAGCUGGGACAGAGCAACAGGAGCUCACUCUGUUGCAGGGAUUUGAACUGCCAACCUUUGGAUCGGCAAGUCCCAGAGGCUCAGUGGUUGAGACCACAGCGCCACCCAUGUCCCAUCCAUGUAGACAGUACUGGGCUCCAUGGACCAUGGGUCUGACUUGUUGUAAGACAGCAUCCUUUGCUCCUAAACCCAAACCUGGAUGGCUAUUGUAAUGCUGAAAGAAUGACAACCAAGGCUGCACUCCUUCAACAGAGGUGUUGUAAGAAUUCUAAAGUCUCAAAUAUAAAUUAAAUGUUCAUAAAUGUACAAGGCAAAUACAUACAUAUGGACCAUUUGUCCGAAAUAGUGCAGGAGAGCAAUCCUGAAGCCCUUUUGACUCUCCCAAUGACCUCAAAUAUUCCUCCGCAGUAAGGGAGGAAAAUGGGGAAAGUCUUCCCAUUGUCUUUUGCUCGCAAAUCCUGUCUUGAGGGCGCAUUUGUGUAUGAAUAGGGUGAGCCAGUGAUCUGGAUUCUGGAACUAAAGUAUUAUCCAUCACAAAAGAAGGACAAGGCUGCCCAGGUAAUGCAAUCAGUGACCAGUAUUAGGUAUCCUGGCAGACUUCUGCGAUGUAUGUAUGAUGUUUUUGGGGGUGGUCUUGGGCUACAGGGUGGGCAAUUUCAAAAGUCUAUAUAAGGGCUUGCGCACCAUUGUUCUGGGUUCCUCCUCCCUCCUGCGUGUGGGGAGUGGGGACCCUAUUACAACAGUUCAGGCUUACUAUCUGCUUUGCUUCUUAAUAUACUCUGCUUAGCCUCUGUUAUUUUCUCCUACUGAUAGGGAACCCACUUAGGGACUCUAUAUGGGCUCUUGGAUACCCCAUAAGGGAAAAGGAGCAGUUUUUUUCUUAUAACAGAGGCAAGCCCUUACUGAGCAGAGUAAGGCUGGCUUCUCUCACUCGGUAGAGCCGGAGACUCUUAAUCUCAGGGUCGUGAGCAAAAGAUUCCAGCAUGCUAAGAUGUACCUCAACAUCGCUGUCUGUAUUUUUGCAGUGACCGAUGGAUUUUAGGAAAAUAAAUUUAACUGGGUGCAUGAGAUCAUGUUGCUAAUUUCAAAGCUAAAUGUCCAACCCGGUCCACAGACUCCCCACCUUCAUUCAUCUAGAACCUGCAGGGGCAGACUUGGUAAUACAGUGGUACCUCGGGUAAAGAACUUAAUUUGUUCCGGAGGUCUGUUCUUAACCUGAAACUGUUCUUAACCUGAGGUACCACUUUAGCUAAUGGGGCCUCCUGCUGCUGCCGUGCCACCGCUGUGUGAUUUCUGUUCUCAUCCUGAAGCAAAGUUCUUAACCCGAGGUACUAUUUCAGGGUUAGUGGAGUCUUUAACCUGAAGCGUCUGUAACCCAAGGUACCACUGUAUAGUGUCCUGAGCAAGGACAAAAUUUGGGCCCUCCCUCAAUAUUUCUUAUGUUCACAAUAAUUUCUCCUUCCUUCCUUCCUUCCUUCCUUCCUUUCUUUCUUUCUUUCCUUCUUUCUUUCUUUCUUUCUUUCUUUCUUCCUUUCUUUCUUCUCCUCCUCCACCUCUUCCUCAUUCUUUGCCGUCUUCUUCUUCUUCUUCUGCACAUCUUUGGCUAGGCACCCUGUGUGGGGGAACCUAAAUCUGAGAAUCUGGAAACCCUUUUAUCAUGCAGGAGGCAUCAAGGGAUCCUAUGCACUCUUUGUUUGAACAUAACUAUAUCUAUAUCUAUCAUCUAUCUAUCUAUCUAUCUAUCUAUCUAUCUAUCUAUCUAUAUCUAUCUAUCUAUCAUCUAUCUAUCUAUCUAUCAUCUAUCAUCUAUCAUCAUCUGUAUCUAUCUAUCUAUCUAUCUAUCUAUCUAUCUAUCUAUCUAUCAUCUAUAUCUAUCAUCUAUCUAUAUCUAUCUAUCAUCUAUCUAUCUAUCUAUCUAUCAUCUAUCUAUCUAUCUAUCAUCUAUCUAUCUAUCUAUCUAUCUAUCUAUCUAUCUAUCUAUCAUCUAUCUAUCUAUCAUCCUAUCUAUCAUCUAUCUAUCUAUCAUCUAUCUAUCUAUUUAUCUAUCUAUCUAUCUAUCUAUCUAUCUAUCUAUCUAUCUAUCAUCAUCAUUAUUAUCUAUCUAUCUAUCUAUCUAUCUAUCUAUCUAUCUACCCUAGGAGCUUUCUGCUAACUUGCAGUCUGGUGCUGUCCCUUGGCAAAUUCUUUCAAGCACUUGGCCCAGGUGGGAAAAGUUUAAACUAGUUCCACACUUGCUCAGCUGAGACCAGCUUUAAUUCCCAAUAAUUAAUGUUAUCAGAGAAAAACAAAGGCGAAGGGAGGAAGACCCAACAAUUUGGUUCCAUUUUCGGGGCCUCCUAGUGCCUGGAAAUAUGGCUAAGCACUUUGGAUACCCGCUAAUUAUAGCCUCUCCCUUCCACUGAGACUGAAUGGCAGGACUGGAAAAUGUUUCCAAAAAGGACUUAUUUGGGGCCACGAGCCAACCAAUAGCCAGUGUUUUCAAGUUCUGUUGGCUUGAUUUUGACUGGGCCAUGCUAAUUUUCCCUAAUUCUUUUGUUCUGUUUGGCGUAAGCUGGUAAGAAGAAGAACAUAAAAAAUAGGAAAAAAUUAUCAUGCGUCCGCAUGCAGGCAUGAUAAUGGAUCAAAACAGCUCCCUACAUAUUAGGGCUUUUCUUGGCAGCAUGGCUAUUGUCACUCUGAGCUCCUGCACCUUAAAUUUGCCAUGACACUACUGUUAGCAAGUGGUAUGGUUGCUAAAGCGUGUUCUCAUUAAAAGAGAGCAUGUGUUGUGGUUGAGGCCAGGCAAGACACCCCGCUGUUGCCAGGCAGUUUGGGUUAGAUGGGCCUGGCAAGGAUUGGUUGCCCGAGUUGCUGGGGUAAAACUGAUGUUGCCAAUUUGGGGGUGGGAACAGAGAUUAUUUAAGCAGUGCUCACAGCGAUCUGCUUUCUCUUUCGCUGUGGGCACCGGAUCACCCGCCCUCCCUCCCUUGUUUUUGGCUUGUGCUUUGACCUUGCUAUGCCUGUCAUGGGGUCAUCUGCCAUUGGGGUGGGGGCCUGGUAGGAAUUUUGUCCAUCUGGCUGAUUGGCUGGUGCCAUUUGCUUUUUGCCUACUGCGUAGCAAAUCGUCACAACUUGUAAGGUUGGCGGUUAGGCAUUGGUUAAAAUUGGUUGGUGGAGGGGUAAGGAUUGGCUGGGCCUGCCCCUCCAAUGCUGCUGCUGCAAGGGAAUUCCAUUAAAGGAAUUCAGGGGCUUGCCAUCCUUUCGUCCAAACCCCUGGAAUUGGGUUUGGGCCGUGUAAGCCCCUGGGAGCAUGCGGGGAGAAGCUGAGGGCCUGUGUCGCAGCUCCAGUUCUCCCCAAUAUUGUUUCCCCUCACUGACUUUCUCUGGAAUCCGGGAGUCAGUUCUGUCCCCAAGGCAGAGGGACAGAUAGUUCUAACCAAUGCCUAAGCAACCACUCACAUCUAUGUAUGUUAAUAAAGUUGUGGCCAAAAUUAUGCCAAAAACCUUAAACAAAAAUUCUGUGUGAUGUGUGAGUUAUUGGGGAAGGGGUGUUUUGGGGGACCUCAGUACGCAAACACGGAUGUAAGUGACGCAUGCACAGUUUAUUAAGAAUCCUUUCUGCAGUAGCAAAGGCACAACUCCUGUUCUCUGACUGCACUCUCUCUCUCUGUUUGCGGUUCUCUGGGGAAGGCAAGAGGCAGUUGUUGUUUUUUAAUUGAGCCACACACAGGAGAGAUCCGAGGCUGCAAGGUGUUUCAUUAUCCUUAAUGACCGUGCAGGGCUGGAACCUAAUGUUCGCCCUCACCGCAUCUUAAUCCCACUAAAUGCGCAGAGAUCCAAGUGGUGGUUUGAAAGCCACUAUCUUCCUAAAAUGCAGGAUGGGGAGUGUUCGUUUAGCGUAGGCUAGCAUAGAGCUGCGCCCACCGAAACGGCUAUUUAGGGAAAGAAUGUGCUUAAGGAGUUCGGCAAAGCAUGUGGAAAGGGCUGCGAAAGUGCAGAUGCUUCCUUUUGCAAAGAAAUGGGGGUUUAUUUGGUCAAACGCAACCCUUCUCUUCACCUUCCAUUCCAUAUUAAUGUCACAAUCACAGGGUGAAAUGAAUAGUGGCAUGAUAGGAGUGACCAUGACACCUGACACCUCUGGAAGUCUGUCUGUAGGGAUGGAAAAUGAUGAUGAUGAUGAUGAUGAUUUUAUAUCCCACCCAUCUGGUUGGGUUUCCCCAGCCACUCUGGGCAAUAAAACGUCAAGCAUUGUUUGUUUGUUUAGUCGUUUAGUCGUGUCCGACUCUUCGUGACCCCAUGGACCAGAGCACGCCAGGCACUCCUGUCUUCCACGGCCUCCCGCAGUUUGGUCAAACUCAUGCUGGUAGCUUCAAGAACACUGUCCAACCAUCUCGUCCUCUGUUGUCCCCUUCUCCUUGUGCCCUCCAUCUUUCCCAACUUCAGGGUCUUUUCCAGGGAGUCUUCUCUUCUCAUGAGGUGGCCAAAGUCUUGGAGCCUCAGCUUCAGG